rnacentral:rRNA from 1 species
GACGAACUGUCCUAACGUUGUUCGGAAUCACUGGGCUUAAAGGGCGCGUAGGCGGCGCGACAAGUCACUUGUGAAAUCUCCGGGCUUAACUCGGAACGGUCAAGUGAAACUGUCAUGCUAGAGUGCAGAAGGGGCAAUCGGAAUUCUUGGUGUAGCGGUGAAAUGCGUAGAUAUCAAGAGGAACACCUGAGGUGAAGACGGGUUGCUGGGCUGACACUGACGCUGAGGCGCGAAAGCCAGGGGAGCAAACGGG